UGGCCGGCAGUCUAGUGACUAUUGUUAAAGUUGAAUUUUUAUAAGAUAAACCUAUCCCCAACCCCAAACCCUUUUCUAACCCUAACCCCUAAGUCCUAACCCUAACCUUUUGAGAGUUAGAAAAGUCGGGAAAAAAAGUUUAAAAAAUUUUAAGAAAAAACAAUGCUAAGUCAAACAAAACACAUCCCGACCCCGACUGCGUUUAACUUUCCGCACGCAGCGCCCUUGCCGUAUGAGCUAACGGCAAGCUCGG